GACGAACGCUGGCGGCGUGCUUAACACAUGCAAGUCGAACGGAAAGGCCCUGCUUUUGUGGGGUGCUCGAGUGGCGAACGGGUGAGUAACACGUGAGUAACCUGCCCUUGACUUUGGGAUAACUUCAGGAAACUGGGGCUAAUACCGGAUAGGAGCUCCUGCUGCAUGGUGGGGGUUGGAAAGUUUCGGUGGUUGGGGAUGGACUCGCGGCUUAUCAGCUUGUUGGUGGGGUAGUGGCUUACCAAGGCUUUGACGGGUAGCCGGCCUGAGAGGGUGACCGGCCACAUUGGGACUGAGAUACGGCCCAGACUCCUACGGGAGGCAGCAGUGGGGAAUAUUGCACAAUGGGCGGAAGCCUGAUGCAGCAACGCCGCGUGCGGGAUGACGGCCUUCGUGUUGUAAACCGCUUUCGCCUGUGACGAAGCGUGAGUGACGGUAAUGGGUAAAGAAGCACCGGCUAACUACGUG
rnacentral:rRNA from 1 species